rnacentral:snRNA from 1 species
GUGCUCACUUCAGCAGCACAUAUGCUAAAAUUGGAAUGAUACAAAAAGAUUAACAUGGCCCCUGCACAAGGAUGAAAUGCACACUCGUGAAGCGUUCCAUAUCUUU